AGAGUUUGAUUCUGGCUCAGGAUGAACGCUGGCGGCGUGCCUAACACAUGCAAGUCGAACGAAGCAUACACCACGGAAGCCUCCGGGCGGAAGAGGGGUAUGACUGAGUGGCGGACGGGUGAGUAACGCGUGGGCAACCUGCCCUGUACCGGGGGAUAACACCCAGAAAUGGGUGCUAAUACCGCAUAAGCGCACAGUGCCGCAUGGCACGGUGUGAAAAACUCCGGUGGUACAGGAUGGGCCCGCGUCUGAUUAGCUAGUUGGCAGGGUAACGGCCUACCAAGGCAGCGAUCAGUAGCCGGCUUGAGAGAGUGACCGGCCACAUUGGGACUGAGACACGGCCCAAACUCCUACGGGAGGCAGCAGCCCCCCAUAUUGCACAAUGGGGGAAACCCUGAUGCAGCGACGCCGCGUGAGUGAAGAAGUAUUUCGGUAUGUAAAGCUCUAUCAGCAGGGAAGAAGAUGACGGUACCUGACUAAAAAGCCCCGGCUAACUACGUG
rnacentral:rRNA from 1 species